GAUGAACGCUCGCGGCAGGCCUAACACAUGCAAGUCGAGGGAGAGGUUACCUUCGGGUACCCAAAACCGGCGCACGGGUGCGUAACGCGUAUACAAUCUGCCUUUCACAUAGGGAUAGCCCGAAGAAAUUUGGAUUAAUACCUAAUGGUAUAUAAGAGCGGCAUCGUUUUUAUAUUAAAGCUACGGUGGUGAAAGAUGAGUAUGCGUUCUAUUAGCUAGUUGGAGAGGUAACGGCUCCCCAAGGCGACGAUAGAUAGGGGUUCGGAGAGGGAUGUCCCCCACACUGGUACUGAGAUACGGACCAGACUCCUACGGGAGGCAGCAGUGAGGAAUAUUGGACAAUGGUCGGAAGACUGAUCCAGCCAUGCCGCGUGCAGGAUGAAGGUCCUAUGGAUUGUAAACUGCUUUUGUAAGGGAAGAAUAAGGAGUACGUGUACUUUGAUGACGGUACCUUACGAAUAAGCAUCGGCUAACUCCGUG
rnacentral:rRNA from 1 species